CUAAGCUUGGUUAGUCACACAGCUGCAGGGGACGAGGGAGGACGUGCUCGACCUCUCUAUACUCAUCACUCUAAGAAAUAUCACUCCAGAGAAUUCCAGAGAAAUGAAUAAGUUGUGUGUGUGUGUUGCGGUGCUGAUGGUCGGGGCGGCCCUGGCGGGUGACAUGAUGAGGAAGUCGAUCGUGUUCGACAAGGCGACGCCCGAGGUGUUCUACUGCCCUAUCGACAAGCCCACCUCCUUCGAGAAGAUGUACGUCCGCUCCAGGCCUCUCAAUAAGCUGUGCGAGUUCGACGGGAAACGGCUGCCUGAGGACUACAAGAGCGACUGUUACAACGAUGUUGACGAGAGCGAGUAUGCCUGCAAGGAGAAGAAACGUAUCAUGAUGCGAAAGGUGAGUGAAGAGGAGACUGAGGAACAGGAGCUGGCCCUGGCUGAAGCUACGCAACAGGCUAACAACAACAACAGUGUUUAAAAGACACACUAACUCCCGGGCCGCCCCCUCUCACACCAACCUAUCCUGCCACCGGACAAAAGAUGCGACUCAAUCCUCCUGGCAGCGAGAAUGCUAAGAAGUAGACUCAAGUUGAGGAAGACAGGUCUGAAGAUUGCCAAUGUCAUGUUUGCUCGACUCAUUAAAUAAGAACAGAAUAUUUAUAAAUUAUUUAUAAUUUCUAAGCAUCCAUCAUAUAGUAUAUUCCAAAUGCAUUGCAAAUAUUUUGCUAUAACUAACCUGUAAUCUCUCCCCCCUUCUGUUUGGUAAUAAAGUGUUUGUAUGUCAUGAUGUGAAAUGUGGGUAAAUAUAGGGGAGCCACAAUCAAGUGUAGUCAAUCAAUCAAUCAAUCACAAUAAACCACUUUGUAGCCAAAGUUAUUUUUAAAGAUUAAUAUGAAGUUUCACAUCAUUAGUUUAUAGUAGUUAACUGUGAGCAGUGUGUUGUGUGGAUUUCAAUAAAAAGCCUAAAAAUAUAAAAAAACUGUGUACAAUUCGAGAUAUUAAUUACAGCUAUAUUGUGCUGUUCAUAUGACUUAUGAUUAACCAUUUGGCCAGAUGAUUUAGCGAGCUAUGCAAUGAUCAUAUUAAAGUUUUUCAAACAAAUAAUAAGAUAUAUAUCAUGUUUAUGCAGCGAAUAAAUAUGACUUGGCUCCAUGUAAGCGAAUUGCAUACACUCCGGCUAGGGUCCAUGCAAGCGGUUUGUUAUAUACUCAAGGGACUCUUUAUAAAUGUAAACACACCGAAUUGUAUUGCUUCACAGUAUCUUCAUUACGCACCGACGUUUAAUGACAUAGAAAUAAGUUGCUUACUAAUGCAUUUUAAGUAUUUUGGGUUAAUUAUGAUAUUUGGUGUGAGGCUACUUCAUCAACUGGCCAAAUGGAGGGUGUUUGCGCGACUCCACCAGAGUCAAGAUUGAUCAAGCACUUCUGGCGUCCAUUAACGAAACCUGUGCGUCUCUGAGAAAAGAUGUACAGGUUUCGUAACAUUGGACACUUAAAUGCUUGAUGGAUCUACACACAGUACUGGGCUUUUGGGACAACGUGACGUCACCCUGUGAUAAUCAUCUUCCUCCUGCUCCUAAUCUCCCUCUCAGUCAGAGAUUCUUAUGAUUCUAUUUUGUUUAAUAUUUUGUGUGGAGAUGUAUGUACUAGGGAAGGGGAUGUCCAGAAACUUAAAAAAAAAAUGAAAUACAAUAAAUUU
rnacentral:misc_RNA from 1 species